CUGAUUCUUCACUUUGGCAACAGCUACACUAAACUGGAACUAUUCAGAUUAACAUGGCCCCUGUGCAAGAAUGACAUGCAAACUCAGGAAGUGUUCCAUGUUGGG
rfam:Fukomys damarensis contig122889, whole genome shotgun sequence.